UACGUAGGGGGCAAGCGUUGUCCGGAUUUAUUGGGCGUAAAGAGCGUGUAGGCGGCCAGGUAGGUCUGCUGUGAAAACUCGAGGCUUAACCUCGAGCUGUCGGCGGAAACCAUCCGGCUAGAGUCCGGAAGGGGAGAAUGGAAUUCCCGGUGUAGCGGUGAAAUGCGCAGAUAUCGGGAAGAACACCCGUGGCGAAGGCGGUUCUCUGGGCCUGUCCUGACGCUGAGGCGCGAAAGCUAGGGGAGCGAACAGG
rnacentral:rRNA from 1 species